GUUCUUUCCACUGGUUGAAUUUCAGAGAGAAAAUCAUUCCUUUAAAGCUGGAAGUGUUGGAUGACUUCAAGAAUUCGGCAAGACUAGACUGGAAACAACCUCUGAUCUUCCAGACAUUGUCUGAAUUUCAAUUCUUUGCAUUGCAUACCCUGUUGGAAAUUGAUGAGCUACCAUUUAUAUCAGAUGCAGUCCCUUAUGUUUGUCUUGAAAUGCUUGGAAGGAAUGGCUACUUUGGCAACAAUACUUCGAGGGAAACUCAGCUGUGCCUGGGGAAAACUAGAGCCACUACUGCAGACAGACAGAGAGACACGGCAGAAAGACAAGCAUUUUGAGAGCACAGUUAAUUAUGAAGUUACCAGGACGUUUUCCAUCUGUUUCUGCAAUGAAGCCUUUCAGUCAUGA
rnacentral:lncRNA from 1 species